AUUGAACGCUGGCGGCAGGCCUAACACAUGCAAGUCGAACGGUAACAGGAAGCAGCUUGCUGCUUCGCUGACGAGUGGCGGACGGGUGAGUAAUGUCUGGGAAGCUGCCUGAUGGAGGGGGAUAACUACUGGAAACGGUAGCUAAUACCGCAUAAUGUCGCAAGACCAAAGAGGGGGACCUUCGGGCCUCUUGCCAUCGGAUGUGCCCAGAUGGGAUUAGCUUGUUGGUGGGGUAACGGCUCACCAAGGCGACGAUCCCUAGCUGGUCUGAGAGGAUGACCAGCCACACUGGAACUGAGACACGGUCCAGACUCCUACGGGAGGCAGCAGUGGGGAAUAUUGCACAAUGGGCGCAAGCCUGAUGCAGCCAUGCCGCGUGUAUGAAGAAGGCCUUCGGGUUGCAAAGUACUUUCAGCGGGGAGGAAGGGAGUAAAGUUAAUACCUGUGCUCAUUGACGUUACCCGCAGAAGAAGCACCGGCUAACUCCGUG
rnacentral:rRNA from 1 species